GUCAGUGUGGUGUAGGGGUUUGAGUGUUAGACUAUGGCUUUUGAAAUCAGGGUUCAAUUCCCUGCUCAGCCA
rnacentral:tRNA from 1 species